GUGUCAGCAGCCGCGGUAAUACGAAGGGGGCUAGCGUUGCUCGGAAUUACUGGGCGUAAAGGGCGCGUAGGCGGAUCGUUAAGUCAGAGGUGAAAUCCCGGAGCUCAACUUCGGAACUGCCUUUGAUACUGGCGAUCUUGAGUAUGAGAGAGGUAUGUGGAACUCCGAGUGUAGAGGUGAAAUUCGUAGAUAUUCGGAAGAACACCAGUGGCGAAGGCGACAUACUGGCUCAUUACUGACGCUGAGGCGCGAAAGCGUGGGGAGCAAACAGGAUUAGAAACCCCUGUAGUCC
rnacentral:rRNA from 1 species